UACGUAGGGUGCAAGCGUUGUCCGGAAUUAUUGGGCGUAAAGAGCGUGUAGGCGGCCAGACAAGUCUGCUGUGAAAACUCGAGGCUCAACCUCGAGAUGUCGGCGGAAACUGUUUGGCUAGAGUCCGGAAGAGGAGAGUGGAAUUCCUGGUGUAGCGGUGAAAUGCGCAGAUAUCAGGAAGAACACCUAUGGCGAAGGCAGCUCUCUGGGACGGUACUGACGCUGAGACGCGAAAGCGUGGGGAGCGAACAGG
rnacentral:rRNA from 1 species